CGACUUUCAGCCCAAGUCGCAAACGCGCAAGCGUGUUCAGUCUGUUGGCACGGGUUGAGGAUAUUGAUGCGAGAGGGGUCAGACAAAAUGGUGUGUGGCAGCCAAGCGUUCA
rnacentral:rRNA from 16 species